UACAGAGGUCCCAAGCGUUGUUCGGAUUCACUGGGCGUAAAGGGUGCGCAGGUGGGUUGGCAAGUUUGAUGUGAAAGCCCCGGGCUUAACCCGGGAAUGGCAUUGAAUACUGCUGAUCUGGAGGAUUGGAGGGGGGGACUGGAAUUCUUGGUGUAGCAGUGAAAUGCGUAGAUAUCAAGAGGAACACCAGUGGCGAAGGCGAGUCCCUGGACAAUACCUGACACUGAGGCACGAAAGCCAAGGGAGCAAACAGG
rnacentral:rRNA from 1 species